CACAAUGUGAGCGCUCUGCCUGCAGCGGGGGCUGGGAGGGAGCAGCCCGGGGAGGGAUUUUUCUCGUGGAGUUUCCUCCAACUCCAACGGGUUAUUCUGUUUUACCUGCAUCAGGGAAAGAAGAAUCGGAGCUUUUAAGGGCUCUGAGGUGCGCGCCCAAACCCGUGGCUGAUGGUUCUGGUCUGCUCUUGCUGUUAGCUUACAGAGAGAACAUCCCUGUAAGUGAAGGAAACUGAGGCAUGGAGGGAAAAGGAUAUUUCCUGAGGGCUUGCACCAGCAGCCUGGUGCGGAUGGAGCAGCCGUCCGGGUGUUUCCCGGUGGACCUGAAGAGUGAUGCUGCGGCAGCUCCGCGCUGUCAUCCGUGACGCAGAUGUGUCACCGUCCCCCGGGGUCCCCGUGCGGCAGCCAGUGCCAGCUCCUGCUGCCACCACCAUCUCUGAGUCUGCAAAGGAGGGAACCUGAUGGCCGGAGCAUCUGUGCACACAGCAGGGAGCUGGCUGCUGGCCCCGAGAUGCGCUGAGCGGUCACAAACAGGGGACAGAAAUCCCUGCCUAGCCUGGAAGGAGCCCCUCGGGCUCAGGAGAGGUGGAUGUGGUGGAUGUGCUGUCUCUGCCUCCCACAUCCCUCUGUCACCAUGAAGCUGAAUGCUGGGAGCCUGGUGGUGCAGCCCUGCUGCAAAUCCUGCUUUUGCUUGGGUUCUUCUGGGAUUCAUGACAGCCUGGAGGCCUCAGGGUGGGUGCAAGGGAGGAAUCCAGGAGGCAGAAAGAGCUGAGAAAUGUGAGGGAAGAGAGCUGUGGAGGAGGAUAAGGACCUGAGCUGGGUAUCCAGGGAUGGAGCAGCUGCUGCUAGCAGUGUCUGUGCCCAAGCAAGCUGCUCCUCUCUCUUUCAUAGCCCUCCCUGAGCCCACUGAGCUGAAUCCCCCCCAUAUUUCUGCCCUCCUCCUUCCUCUGCCCCUGUGUGUGCCAAGGAUGUCCCCUGAGACCCCACUACUGCCUUUCCCCUGCAGCCUCCCUGCAAAAACACUUUCCUAAGAACUCUGGAAUAAAAAAAGAAAGAAGAAACAG